AGGAGCUGGAAGAAUUGUGCUUUCUUUCAGGGUGGAGUUUUUAAGACAGAAAGGAAAGCGGGUGGUGGCGGCGGAUGCCUUUCACCCAAGAGGCAGAGGCAGGUGGAGUUCUGAGUUCGAGGCCAGCCUGGUCUACAAAGCAAGUUCCAGGACUGCCAAAGCUACACAGAGAAACCCUGUCUUGGGGAAAAAAAAAAGAACAAAACAAACCAAAGAGGAAGGAGGAGAGAGGAGAGGAGUUGGGGAGUCCUGGACGCCAGUGCCACCAAGGACCACUUAUGCUUGCCCCGUGAUGUCACAGGGGCCUGGACACAUGAACCUGACUAGAUGGAAGGUUGCAGGGGGAUUUAGGAUCUGGCCCCUGUGAGAGGAAAAGCCCUCCCCCUGAGUGUUGCAAGCUCCUUCCUCUUUCUUAGAGGUGGGUGGGGUGAACCCCUACCCUGGUAACCUACUCCUAGGGUGGGGUGCCCGGAUUUUGGGCUAAUGGCAGCCUUCUUUGGCUUUCUCCACCCAGGUUAGGCAAUGCCCUCUUCCUGCCUCUGUGAGUCUGUGGGUUUCCCACCCAUCCCCCUCUCCUAGUAAACAACAACAGUUCUCUUCCUCCCUACUCCCCUGCCUCUGAGCACCUUCUAGGACCAGGGACCAGAGGCCUUGGCUCUGAGACCACCCCCUCCUACAGUGCUCCUGGUACCUGGAAAACAACUAAAAGUUUUUGCAGCUUUAGUCUCCCCUAGCCCUUGGGUCUAGAAGGUGUCAGGUAGUUCCUGGAGGGGGGUGUGUGGAGUGGCUUGCAGCAGUGAUGCUAUGUCCUGGUGAUCUUCCAGGCUCCCCCCCCCCCAACCCCCCCCCCCCCCCCCCGCUCCAAUCCCACGUCUGUGGAGAUGGCCUCCCCUUCCUGGGCCUCUUGCAAGGUUGCACCUCAGGUGUGUUGUAUGUACUCUGCAGGUGACCUGUGGGAGGGCCAAGGCCCCUCCAGGUCACGGUGGGGAGAGCUAGGUAUUGUCCUACUGGGAGUCUCCUAGGGAACCAGGGUGGAGGCCCCAGAGAUAGCACAAGACUCCUGUCCCUUUGGCUCCUGGCCCCUGAAGCCUGUUUGCUGUGGAGGUUUGGUCUUCUCUGUGCUGUGUGACGAGGGUCAGGGUUGUGUGUUCUUUGGGAGGAGGGGGUCAGGGCUGAGUAUGCUGAGAAGGGGGGGAGGGGUUAAUGGCUUGUGUAUACUGGGUGAGACCAGUGUUUCCUAAGAAUUAAAUCCAGAGCUGGGGAGGGGAAUGUCAGCUUGUGGUGGAGCUGUGGGGGAGGGCUGGGGGGGGAGUGGGGGAGGGCUGGAGGGAGGGGGGCAGGCCUGAUUUAGGGGCAGAGGUGUCUUGAUGUGAGGGCUUCAGAGACUUUGACCUUCAUAAUGUGUGUGUGUGGGGGGCUCUAUCUCUAAUGUCUUUGUGUUUCCUGGCCUGGGGGCCAAGGGGUGAACCUCUUUGGCUUAUGCGUCCUUGGCAUUCCUUGGGCUUCGAGGUUAAAACCUUAGACACCUGUGUCACGUAUGUGUCGAUCUCUUGGCAUUGUUUCCUGGUUGGUAACACAGCGACAUUAGGUAACACAGACACAUGACCAGAUACUGUGCGAGCUCAUCCCGGGGGACACUUGGUGUGUGCCUGGCAUGUGACCCGGGAGAAUGGGAGGCUGCUGUGCACCUACUGUGGGUCGGGACAUUAUCUGCGCCUU
rnacentral:lncRNA from 1 species